CUCUACCCCUAUGCCACCUUCCUAGCCCCUUGCUGAGCUUUUUGUCUGUAUAUCUAGCGCCUAAGCGUGUCUGGGCACUUCAGUAGUCAUUCUCUAAUGUCUGUGGAAUGCAUAGGACACAUAGGCCUUGGAAAGCUUUGUACCUUCGUGGUGCUCAGUACUUAUAAGAAUUUGGUACCCAAUUGUAUAAAAACAUCUUUAACAAGCCCAAGUGCAUUCCACAAAAAGACAGCUUAGCAUAGUAAAAGGUUUAACACGUAAGUGUUCGGGCUGAUUUGCUCAGAGAAGACUUAGGUCUGAGAGCAGUAUAGGUACUUGAAGGCCUGGUAUUGUCCGUCUGCAUCCCAGGGACUGAACUAGGAUUUUAUAAUCAUGGGGAGGCAGAUUUCUGUAGACAUCUAUUCAAGGCAAGUUUUUUGGUGCUAUAAUAUGGUGGAGGAUACAAAGUAUGCUUUAUUAAGCAUAAAUUCUGCCCUAGAGUUGUAUGUAGUCUUACCAUGAUGUGUAAGCAAUGGCAGCUGUUACAGGUUUAAAGGUGGAAAAAAUAGCAGUUCAGGUUGUUGGCAGUGAGUGCCAAAGAUCUCACUGAGAUUAUUAUUAUGUUAAGUUUUUAAAGGGUGAAUAUGUAUUGUUCAGGAGGAAGGGAUCUGGAUGGAUGGAAAGGCCCUAACACAGGAACGAAACAGCAUAGUGCACUGGAGAAAAUAAGUUCUUGUAGGAGGAAAUAAGAAAUAAAUAUGACUCAGAGAAUGUUCCAGAAGUAGUCUCUGUGUCCCCAAUCUCAGGCCGCAGGCACUCUCAGCAGGGUUGGAGACCAUAGUGGACUAUAGUGAACAGUUGAGUAGCAAAAAAUCAGAAGCUGGCCUUUCUGUUUUUCACCUCCUUUUUCAGUUAUUCAAAAGCUGUUCCAGUCACAAGAGGAACCAUGAAAACAUAGGAAAAAAUAGAAAAGAAUUAAGGCUAACUGAACCCAGAGAAGAGUAAAUAGGUGCCUGGAGUAGCUCAUGGAGAGCUCCAACUGUCAGAGACCAUGUGCAAAGAAAGGAAUCGGCAUGCUAAGAAAAAGGAGUGUGAACUAGACAGCAGUGUUUGAAAUGGGAAGGCUCAGGGUGAACUUAAGUUUAUAGAAAAUCCUAAAGUUGUCAAGAAAGCUUUUUUUUUAAAGCCGGAUUCAAGGCAAAAAAAGAAGAAUGGCUAAAGUAAUGGUAAUGGACUGACAGGAAGGCAAUUUUUAUUUUCUUUGACAAAGAGAUAAAAUGUGGCUGGGGAAAAAAAAUGGAAACUGCCAUCAGGUUGCAAAA